CAAGAGAGGCGCCCGGCAACACAGCAGCGACGCAUCAUAUAUACCCCGGCAGAGCCCUCGGCACUCGGGCCAUGUCAUCGUACUAUCGUGGCGGCAGCACUCGUGGCCGUGGACACUACCGAGGUGGUGGCGAAGACGGUUUUCGUCGCGGUCGUGGAAGCUACGCAGAUGCCGUGUCCGACGGCAACAUGAACCGCAACGAGGAGCAGCAGCGAGGUGAACGAUACCGGUCCCACUCCUCUGGCGACGACGAAACCGAGAGGGGAAGCGGAGGCUUUGAAAGCAAUUCGCAGUGCCAUGCGGGUCCGCCCCUUCCCCUCGUCGCCCUCGAGUCUUUUCUUCGAGAUGUGGACGGCAGCAACUACAGUCAGCUGAAGCAGCUCACCGGUCGCACGUACAGCCUCACACGACAGAUGAGACCAGACCCUGCGUCGGUGUCGAUCCGAUUUGUGCGCAUCCAACCAGAUCCGUUUGCCCCCGGCAGUCAGGUGUGCGUGAGCGUGCCAGCGCCCUUUGCCACGCACACCCUGCUGCACUCGGCGCACUCCACACCGCCCGGGGUCACUGCCGCAGCCCUCGGCAAUCCUCUCCCACCGGAGGAUGUCGCGUGUCGCCGCGUCGCGGCCGAGGACUUUAUUCUUCGCUGCGUUAAAGGUGGGUUUUCGGCUGGCCCAAACACCAGUGGUGCGGUGCAGAUAAUCCACCAAUCGCAACACGUAAUCGCCCGCAGCGCCGUGCAGCUGCUGGGCGCGAGCGAGGCAAAUGACAGCGAUGGCGCGUCGGAUGGUUGGAUUCAUGUGUACUUCCGUGUGAAGCUGCCCGGCCACGGUCGGCGCAUCGACAGUCAACGCAUUCGACAAAUUCUUUUUUCAGAGGUGCUUCCAGUCUUCCAGGAGAACGUGCUGCGCUGCGACCACCGUGCUCUGUGGGCACAUGUCACGUGCGUGCAUGACCAGGAGUGGCUGCGCGCGCAGCUGCGAGAGUGGGGAUUCGCGGCCUUCAUUGCCGAUGGUGCCAUACUGCCACGUGCGGCAGGCAACUCCGACAAGCCGCUGAGUGGCCCCAGCGUUGUCGCCUUCUCGUCCCCGGCCACCCUGCAGCACACAUUUCAGCUGCCGUACUCGGGCCGCGCUAUCAGCGGCGCUGGUCUGCCGCACGGUCUCACCCUCAUCGCCGGCGGCGGCUUUCAUGGCAAGUCAACGCUCUUGCGUGCGCUGGAGCUCGGCGUGUACAACCACGUCCCUGAUGAUGGUCGAACCUUUGUCGUGGUGGACCCGACAGCGGUCAAAAUUCGUGCCGAGGACCGCCGCGCGGUGCACGGCACCGACAUAUCGCCUUUCAUCACAAACCUUCCUUACCGCGACAAUACGACUGCCUUUGUCACCGCCGACGCGAGUGGGAGCACCAGCCAGGCCGCCAACAUAAUGGAGGCUCUGGAGCUUGGCUCGACGACGUUGUUGCUCGACGAGGACACGUCGGCGGCGAACUUCAUGUACCGCGAUCCGCUCAUGGAGCAGCUCGUCCCGCGCACGCAGGAGCCGAUCACCUGCUUUGUGCACCGCGCGCGUGACCUCAUGUAUCAUCACGGUGUUUCCGUAAUAAUGGUUGUGGGAGGGUCGGGGCAGUACUUUCCCAUGGCGGAUGUCGUCCUGCUGUUGAACGCGUACAAGGUGACGGACGCCACGGCGCGAGCCAAGGCGAUUGCAGCGCAGAGCGUCGGCGGCGGCGGUGUUGGGCUUGUGGAGUCGGCAGCGCCGCCAGCAACGUCCGCGUUUUGCCUCCCUCCUCGGCGAAGCUUUGUGUACGCCGACACCUUCGGCAGGCUUGGACGGCAAAGCCAGCAGCAGCAGCACCACCACGGCUACGGCGGAAAUGGGCGAGGCAUCAAGAUCAGCGGCUCUGGCAUUGAUCACAUACGCAUAGCCGACGAGGACAUCAACGUGACGCUGUUGGAGCAGCUGGUGGAAGAGGGGCAGCUGAAUGCCAUCGCGCAGUGCCUCGCGAUGCUGUACGAUAGCGGCAGCGCGGCUGCAGCGGAAUGGCAACGGGAGGAGGCACCUCGUUCGAAAUACCCGCCAUCGCUGCUGAAAGCCCUGUCUGUCGAUGCUGCCGCAGCUGCCGGUGCACCAGCGUCAAACCUCUCCGACUUUGGUCGCCUCGUGUACAACUGCGAAGGUCGAUUACGUCAAGCGCGGCUGGAGCUGCAGACGGCAUCGUGCUACCUGCCAUUCGGAUUCACCGCCUUGCCACGCGUUUUUGAGAUCGGAGCGGCGCUGAACCGCCUGCGCACCCUUGUCACCAGCUGCAAGUGAGGAAGAUGGGCGGGCAGAGGCAGAGUCGUGCGGUUUCCCUGAUUGUUCCAUGGGCGUCUCUGGAAGGAUUUAGCUGUGUAUAGAGGUGUGUGUGUGUGUUUGUCUGUUGAUCGAUAUAUAGGGUAUUGUGAGCUGACGAGUAGAGUAGGAGAGCGGCAAUGGGAGCAUGAUCAAGAGUAUAGGUUGAUGGUCGCUGUCGUUGUGUCGCUGCAGCCGCCACCCCCACACAACCCUUGAGGAGGUCCCUCACCUCCGUCCCACCCACCCCUCGCCGCCAUGGUGUUAAAGAUCACGCAGAAGUUUCCAUCCCCUGUCUUCGCCUUCAUAAAGAUCCUCGCAAGAGAAAUGUGCACGCCCGAAAAUGUGCUGGUCGGUGUCGGUGCGCGCGCUCAGGCUGGACAUCAGCGGAUGGCUAUGAGAGAACGGAACCCCCACGAAGCGGUACAUUGUAC
rnacentral:misc_RNA from 1 species